GUACUUGGAAAACUGUCCAAUUUUCGCAGAGAAAUAAUACAAAACGACCAAUUCAGGCACCAAAAAUUCCAACUUUGAUCGAAAAACAAAUAAAAAAAAACCUCAACUCAAAAGUAUAGGGAUCGCUCACUAGAGGAGGUGUACGAGCGAUCGAUGAUAUCGACUUCGGGGACAGGGCCAUCGUGACACUACCAUCAAGACCAUACUUUUUUGGCUUCCUCGCUUUUUCUUCACUUGCAUCGCCAGGUUCGCCAUCUUGGAUAGCGAAGGAGCCGCUGUCGGUUGUGAUUUGGGUUUUAGUCGGAGGGAACAUCGGAUCCCACCACUGUAAACCACUCCACUAUCACUUCUAAGAGUUUCUCUCCUCUUGUUUAUAUCUCGUUAUCGGGCCAAAAACAAAAGCAAUGGUGGUUGUGAUAAACUCAAUUGCUUCUUUUUAUAUAGAUUUAGUUCCUUUAUUUUCUAAAAAUAUUACUAAAAAACAAUUUUGAAUUCAGCUCAAAUUAUCUAAAAACAAAAUUCAAUUUUUGAAGAAAAGGAAAAAGUUACAGAAAAAACACAAAAAAAUAGAAACUUAUGGGUUUGAGAAGCUAAGUAGGAGCUAGAAGAGAAAUUUUACAAUAAAUUUAAUCUGCGAAAAUUUGGGUGUAGCUUUAUUUAAAAAAUUGGCUUUUUAUUUUUUGUUUUUAGGGAAAGAAGAAAGGUUUAGAUCACAGCGAUGGUUGAAGAAGGUGGUUUUGGAGGUGAUGAACAAGGUGGUUUUGGUGGCAUUGCUGGCGAAGAGAGGGGAUGAGACACCUUUUGAUGUUCUUAAAGACAAAGUAGAGAAUUCAAUGUAUACGCUCACGUAGAAUCCACUCGGGCAGUUGAGUUGGCCAGAUUGAAGUUCUCUUUCUCCAUGUCGGAUGCCAUGUGUCAAAAAUCAGAUGUUUUUUGCAUACAUGCCGCGCUGGACUUGUGGGAUCCAUCCUCUGCUACAUCAACAAAUGACAUGUCAUAUAGCCAUCCAAAUUAGUUAUUAAUGCGCCCAAAAGAACGUUAUUAUCCCUACUUGAAUGAUUCACCUAAUUGAUGAUCCAACGGUCUUAAAUCAAUGGCUAUUCUUACUCUCUUUGAUUGAAACCCUAGCCCUCGCAGCCACUUCCAUUCUCUUUUGUCCUCCUCCUCUACUCUUUAUAGAUCUCGAUUCUUGCCUUUUUCCUUCAUGCACAAUAUCAAAACUACCAUCGCUCUUAUCCCCUGCACUGCCUUCCUUCUUGACCUCAGCAGCGCCCUUAUAGAAAUUGGUAGAUUAACAUUUCAAGGUACGACAAGUACAUUGCAAGGUACUGAUCAUUUUGUGCGGCCCAGUGGUUUCACAUUCACCAGCACAGUAGUCAUUUGUUAGAGAAUGUGAUUAAAUCACACGUGAAAUGCAUGUGUCCGGCAGAUUUGGAUGAUUAUAUGAUAUGUCAUCUGCUAAUGUGGGGAGGGAUGGUUCCUAUUUGAUCCAGAUGUCAACUCUAGCGUGCCACAUACAAGAAACACUUGAUUAGAAAAUUUUUUUAUCCUUGGACAAUUAAUUGAAAAAUUUUUCUGUGUAGACACUCAAAUAUCAAAAAUUAAAAAGUUCAGAUACUAACAAUAUAAUUAAGCUUUUUUUCUAUGCUUAGAAUGAAUCGCUUAUGUGCCACAAUAAUUAAUA